CAGAACAGGCUGUUGGGAGAGACGGAGGGAGGCGACGUAACCGGGUUCUGCUAUCCCAUUUUACUGCUUAACUCACCCUGGAGUGUCGGGACCCAUUCUCUCCCUGCAUGCUCCUUGCACUAUACAAGGAGGCCCUCACUCCGUACUCCCCGGACAGCCAGGCUGCUUGGAACAAGGGGUCUGGGCAGCACAGGGGGUCUGCCCUUUACGGUGACUUCCUAAAAGACACCACCGGUGUCUUUUGACAGUACAGUGCCUGGGGUGAGAGGCGGAGAGGAGGUUUGGAUUGCUAAACCGCUUACUUCCCCCCCACCUUUCUGGUCAUCUGGAUUUGUUUCCUGGGCCCCCUCCUCUGCCCCUUUCUCUCUUUUCCUCCCGCCUUUAGCGAAGUGACACAGGUAACACCUGCUCGCUUGUGUUCGAUGUUGGAACUCGCACCUUCUCGGCGGUGACGGUGGCAGCGUACUGGGGACAGGGGACAGCGGCGGAUUUCCCUUCCUUCCAGCCCACGAUGCCUAGGGGGGCAGCGGUUGGGCUGCGUGGGGCUCUGCCCGCAGCACUUCGAGGCGGGAUUGAGGGGCUGCAGCUGGCCAGGAGUUGCUGCUAAGUGGACUGGGCGCGAAGUCUCCGAGAGGGCACCAGCUGGGACCUAGCUGCUAAAAGCGGGAACAAGGGGCACCUGAUCCGAGGAAGCUGGCGUCUUGAGUGCGGAGGACGGGCGAGCGCAGAGCCUCCACUCCUUGCUGCCCCGAACCUCUCCUACAACUCCUCCACGUUGGAGACCUGGGACCUGCGAGAGCCAGGGAACAGGAGACGUACGUGGCAGAGACUGCUUUCCUGAAGGUGAAUCGUUCGGUCCAAUUGCCUUUCCCCAGAGAGCCAAAGGGAGGGCGGGAGAGAGGGACGGUGGAUGUGUGAGGGUGUGUGAAUGUGAGAGGGAGCGACGACGUGAGGCGAGAGGAAAAGUCUUUAUUCGGCGUUAAAAGCAAACAAAUCAGAGAUGGAAUAAGAGAGAUAAUUGCCGCAAGACCGCCUCGAUUCUCGCAGUCGGGGGAGCGGAGCGCACCCCACGCCUCCGACGAGGACAGCGGGCGACUGCGGGCGCAGGCAAGGGCUGCGGGACUUCGGCUUUGCCUCAGUAAACAAAUCUUUUGAUUACUUUGACACCGUGGAAUAAAGAACGGGGGGUGGGGGGAACGACGAGGCUCACGCACUCCACCUUGCACCCGCUUUCAGGGGACCCCAGUUUGGAUGUCAAGCGAUUCCUGAACCCUCUUUGCUAUCGGAGGAGGAAACACGGGCGCACUCACACGCCCUCCACGAGCACCCACCACCAGACUUGGGUUCCCUAUGCCCCAGAACGGUGACGGCGGAUUGGCAUCUUGGAAGCGAUGCAAGAGCGAUAAGGCUGGCGCGGGCCCGCGGAAGCUGCAGGAGCAUCGCUAGGUGUUGCCGCCACCAGGAAGCCGGGCUGCAGAACUGCAGACUGAGCUAUCUAGUCUCUACUUCAAAAGGACGAACUGUGGGAGCUUGCUGAGCCCUUGCAAGGGGUAGAAGCGACGCUUUCUUAUUCAGUAUUCCACUUCCUGAAAACUAUUGCCUGAAGCGCUUGGAAUCAAAUGUAUACGUACUAUAGUGGCUAGUUACCCUCACUUUCCCGUGUGCUGGCUGACAUUGGCUUGUGGCAAGAAGACCGAAAAGAAAAACGAUCCUCGUUUUGAUCAGUGGAGACAUUUUGGGUUGACUGAAAUCGAGAAGGGUCAUAUCACUGAAUGAAGUUCUGUCCUCUACCCUCCCUCAGGAUGAGUAAGAGAUACUUACAGAAAGCAACAAAAGGAAAGCUGCUAAUAAUAAUAUUUAUUGUAACCUUGUGGGGGAAAGUUGUAUCCAGUGCAAACCAUCAUAAAGCUGUCCAAGCAGAUGCUCUACAGAAAGCCCCCACAGAAGAAAAACUCCACUGGACACUUGGUGAAAAUGGCAAGGAAGACUUUAUUCAAGACUAUGGCGAAAGGGUGGAAAGACUGAACUCUACUGAAAUAAAAGCUCACCAUGUUAAAACGGGCACUUGCGAGGUGGUGGCACUCCACAGAUGCUGUAAUAAGAACAAGAUAGAAGAGCGAUCACAGACAGUCAAGUGCUCCUGCUUCCCUGGGCAGGUGGCAGGCACCACGCGAGCUGCUCCAUCUUGUGUGGAUGCUUCAAUAGUGGAACAGAAAUGGUGGUGCCAUAUGCAGCCAUGUCUUGAGGGAGAGGAAUGUAAAGUUCUUCCGGAUCGGAAAGGGUGGAGCUGUUCCUCUGGGAAUAAAGUGAAAACAACUAGGGCAAACGUGUAAAACUCUUCAAGUUCGAAUGGAGAAGUAGAAAGAGAAGGUUUCUGCUGUGCCUGAUGACAAUUUUUGAUUUUUCCACACUCAAAAAAAUUGUGGCUCCACGUUGGAGCACUAGUGUGGCGAAUCCUAGUGUUGGUCGGAUUCUAAGGAAGGGACAGAAGUUUCAUUGAGGAGUAAAGAUUCAAAACAUCUCCUGAAAUGGGCUCUCGUCUUGGUUUAUUUCUCCCAGAGCAGCAGGUGACCCAUUAACCAAGGAUAAAUCAAGUGAUCCUCAAGCCUGAUUACAUUGAACAUAUGCACAGAAACUUAAUUCCUGAGGUGAUCUUGAAGGGAGAUUUUUAUAUCGCUCACAAGAGGCACUGCAGAGUCUUAUUUCCAAGGGAUUUCAUGGCUCGUCAUCAGCCUCUUCUUGAAACCAAGACUUUUAAAAAGUCAGACAUGAACUUCUGUGUCAUGAAGAUUUUGUCAGAUUUGAACUGUGUUCAACUUGUAAAAUUGCACUUGCUAAGAGAAUUUGAAGUUGCCAUCUGAAGAGUUGGUGUUUCCAGGUGAUGUCAGAGACACUCACCUUUUGGGUUCUUGGCCUCAAAUGGGACUGCUUUUCUUGUUUUUGAAAGUCUGCCAAGUGCACCGGCCUUCUGCCAUGGAUAUGUUCCUGAGUCCGGUCCUGUGUUCAUUGGCUGGUGGGACUGCACCCGCCUUUAUUGACAUUUCCUUUGCAAACUUCUCUGGCAUGGUGUAGACUGAGACAAUUUUAUUUGUAUCCUAUUCUCAGAGCUCUGAAAGCCUACAUGUUUUAACAUCUUAAAGUUGCUUUUGUUAAAGGAAUGGAAAUAUAUAUCCAUUGAUAAUAAUUAUUGUUGGCAAGUAAUAGUUAUCUGACUACAUCAAUCAUAUAAGAAUGUAUAGACAAGCUGACAUGUUUCCCCAAGGCUAACAUACUAUUGCAGCUCUCUAUCAGUUAAAUAGGUAAUAGUUAGAACUGAAUUUCCAUUUUCAUUAUAUGCUAUUUUGUACUUCUAAGGGUACUCUCCCUCUCGGUGUUUGUUUUUGUUUUUUUUUUCAAGUGGGCUUUUUCUUUCAUGUUUACAUUUACUUUUUCCCUUCACAGAAAUCAGCAGUGAGCAGUCAAGUAUGUAGGAAGCCUUCAGUUUCAAAAAAUCGACAGGGACGCAUGUGGAUAUCUGAUUUCUUAGCUUGAGAGUUAUUCACUAAGAUUUCUUCUAGUAAUUUUUUUAACUGUCCUUUCUUUUGUUUUAAUAGACUGUCCCUUGCUCGCUCCCAAUGACUGUUUGAAUGCUUAUGUAUUUGUUUGUUCAGUCCGUUAACAGAAUUGUUCCUUUUCCUUGGUCUCGAAUUUAUAAAUAUUUCCUUACAGUUGUCCCAUUCAAACAAUUUCUUAGGUCAGGUUCUGUCCACAGUUUUGUAGUCAUUUUAAUAUUUUUGUUCUUCAGUUCUACAGGAAAGUCUUACAAAUAUUUAAAGGCCUUAAACAUGUAUGUACUUUUUUUCUAAGUUAUCACAGAAUGUAUAAUUUUAUACAUUUUAUUUCAUUUGUUAUGUGAGGGUAGAGAAGAAUUGAAAAUGCAUAGCCAAUCUGUAAUAUUGUGUAAAUGUCUAGUUGAAGGGAUGUAACCGGAGAGACUCCUUUGUUUACUCAUCUUAGCCUAAUAGGAAGGUACUUCAGAAAUUUUCCUAUUAGAAGUUCCAUCAUGUUAGAAAAGAUGUGACCAUCUUUCAUAUUUUUAAAACUCACUGACAUGGUCAAUUAAGUCUAUGUUAGUUUCCAGGAUGGAGGCUGACAUACCUUGGAGAGUUUUGGCCUGUUAGUUGGUAACAAAUUUCAAAGACCAGUACAUUACCCAGAAUGUCUUCUGGGCAGAAAAAUUAAAAGUGUAAAAUUUGUUAAAAAUUAAAUUUGUAAAGUAUGCUUUGGACACUGAACCAAAGUGUACUGCCCCACAAGUCCAUGGGAUGAAAUGACUUCCUCCCUCCCUGUUAAUUAUACAUAAAACUAAUUAGAUGGCUCUGAGUGGAUUUUGCAAUGGUUCGAGAUUAUGUAUGAAUUCAGAAAGAAAAUAACAGUUGUGCUGGAAUUUUUGCAUCAAUUAUAACAGCAUUUAAUUUCUUUGGAACAAAGUAGAAAACUGUAUUAUUUUGGAAAUUAUGAAUUUUUCCUAGGUUUGUCUGAAAUUGUAGAUCAUGCUUCUCAUUUUUUUAAACUGAGUCCUUUAAAACAACACUGGAAAUUCUGUAUUAUAUACAAGUGUAACACAAGCAUAUCAAUAGAAAAAAAUAAAUGGAAUUUCAAAUAUACUAACUAGAUUAUCCCUAGUAGAUUAAUGUUGUGACUAUUCAGAAAAAGUAAAUAAAAUUGGGAUAUAAAAUGGACUCUCUUUCAUGAGUUA